rnacentral:tRNA from 1 species
GGAGAGGUGCCAGAGUGGCCGAACGGGCCUGACUCGAAAUCAGGUGUGCUCACUGCGAGUACCGCGGGUUCGAAUCCCGCCCUCUCCGCC